UGGGGAAUAUUGCACAAUGGGGGAAACCCUGAUGCAGCAACGCCGCGUGAAGGAAGAAGGUUUUCGGAUCGUAAACUUCUAUCAACAGGGACGAAACAAAUGACGGUACCUGAAUAAGAAGCCCCGGCUAACUACGUGCCAGCAGCCGCGGUAAUACGUAGGGGGCAAGCGUUAUCCGGAAUUACUGGGUGUAAAGGGAGCGUAGGCGGCACGUCAAGCCAGAUGUGAAAGCCCGGGGCUUAACCCCGUGGAUUGCAUUUGGAACUGGCGAGCUAGAGUACGGGAGAGGAAAGCGGAAUUCCUAGUGUAGCGGUGAAAUGCGUAGAUAUUAGGAAGAACACCAGUGGCGAAGGCGGCUUUCUGGACUGAAACUGACGCUGAGGCUCGAAAGCGUGGGGAGCAAACAGGAUUAGAUACCC
rnacentral:rRNA from 1 species